GCUUCAUCCUUGGAUCCUGCUAUACAUGACAUUUACACAGUUGAAGCAGUCGGAAUCCCUCACCAGAUGCAGUUGCCCAAUCUUGAACCUUCCAGCCACCGGAAUUGGACUUGUUUCUUCACCACAAACUCAGCAAGAUAUUCCUAUGAAUGACACAACAC